rnacentral:rRNA from 1 species
AUGGAUGAUUGCAAUUUCUUAAUAUGGAAUGUUAGGGGCCUGAAUUCGCCAGCGAGAAGGACCGCUGUUCGGCCGCUCAUUAGGAUGCAUGCUAUCAGUAUGGUGUGUCUGCAAGAGACAAAGUUAUCCAGUGUUGAUUUUGUUCUGCUAUCUGAAAUCUGUGGUGGCAAUUUCUCUGAAUUUGCUUUCUCUCCUUCUGAAGGUGCUAGUGGAGGAUUGUCAGUCGCUUGGUCUGAUAAUAUUGUUGUCUCCUCAGUACAAUGCUCUAGAUGUUUUAUAUCCCUAAGGUGCUACAACAAGAUCACUAGUGAGUUUUGGAAAAUGGUGAAUGUCUAUGGCCCUCAACCCCCUAGUGAAAAGAUCUCCUUCCUAAACGACUUGCAAUCGCUAUGCUUGAACUCUCCUGAUCCCUUGAUUUUAGUGGGUGACUUCAACUGCAGCUACAGACAAGAGUAA